CACCGGCGGCUCGAGUGGUGGCCACUUUUAUUGGGUCUAAAGCGUCCGUAGCCGGCUUGGCAAGUCCCCUGGGAAAUCUGGCGGCUUAACCGUCAGGCGUCCAGAGGAUACUGCCAGGCUUGGGACCGGGAGAGGUGAGAGGUACCUCAGGGGUAGGGGUUAAAUCUUGUGAUCCCUGAGGGACCACCAGUGGCGAAGGCGUCUCACUAGAACGGGUCCGACGGUCAGGGACGAAAGCUGGGGGCACGAACCGG
rnacentral:rRNA from 1 species